rnacentral:rRNA from 1 species
UACGGAGGGUGCAAGCGUUAAUCGGAAUUACUGGGCGUAAAGCGCACGCAGGUGGCUGAGUCAGUCGAUUGUGAAAGCCCUGGGCUUAACCUGGGAAUUGCAGUCGAUACUACUCAGCUAGAGUAUGGGAGAGGGUAGUGGAAUUCCCGGUGUAGCGGUGAAAUGCGCAGAUAUCGGGAGGAACACCAGUGGCGAAGGCGGCACUCUGGGCCGGAACUGACGCUGAGGAGCGAAAGCGUGGGGAGCGAACAGG